rnacentral:rRNA from 1 species
UACGGAGGAUGCGAGCGUUAUCCGGAUUUAUUGGGUUUUAAGGGUGCGUAGGCGGGAUGCCAAGUCAGCGGUAAAAAUGCGGUGCUCAACGCCGUCGAGCCGUUGAAACUGGCGUUCUUGAGUGGGCGAGAAGUAUGCGGAAUGCGUGGUGUAGCGGUGAAAUGCAUAGAUAUCACGCAGAACUCCGAUUGCGAAGGCAGCAUACCGGCGCCCUACUGACGCUGAGGCACGAAAGCGUGGGUAUCGAACAGG